UACAGGGGGGGCAAGCGUUGUUCGGAAUUACUGGGCGUAAAGGGCUUGUAGGUGGCCAACUAAGUCACACGUGAAAUCCCCAGGCUUAACCUGGGAACUGCGUGUGAUACUGGAUGGCUUGAAUCCGGGAGAGGGAUGCGGAAUUCCAGGUGUAGCGGUGAAAUGCGUAGAUAUCUGGAGGAACACCGGUGGCGAAGGCGGCAUCCUGGACCGGUAUUGACGCUGAGGCGCGAAAGCCAGGGGAGCAAACGGG
rnacentral:rRNA from 1 species